CCCUAGUAACUGCGAGUGAAGCGGGAAAAGCUCAAAUUUAAAAUCUGGUGGUCUUCGGCCAUCCGAGUUGUAAUCUAGAGAAGUGUUACCCGCGUCGGACCGUGUACAAGUCUCCUGGAAUGGAGCGUCAUAGAGGGUGAGAAUCCCGUCUUUGACACGGACUACCGAGGCUUUGUGGUGCGCUCUCAAAGAGUCGAGUUGUUUGGGAAUGCAGCUCAAAAUGGGUGGUAAAUUCCAUCUAAAGCUAAAUAUUGGCGAGAGACCGAUAGCGAACAAGUACCGUGAGGGAAAGAUGAAAAGAACUUUGGAAAGAGAGUUAAACAGUACGUGAAAUUGCUAAAAGGGAAACGCUUGAAGUCAGUCGCGUUGGCCGGAAAUCAGCCUUGCAUUUGUGAGGUGUACUUUCUGGUUGACGGGCCAGCAUCAGUUUUGACCGGUGGAAAAAGUCUAGGGGAAUGUGGCAUCUUCGGAUGUGUUAUAGCCCUUGGUCGUAUACAUCGGUUGGGACUGAGGAACUCAGCACGCCGCAAGGCCGGGUCUUUGACCACGUUCGUGCUUAGGAUGCUGGCAUAAUGGCUUUAAUCGACCCGUCUUGAAACACGGACCAAGGAGUCUAACAUGCCUGCGAGUGUUUGGGUGGAAAACCCGGACGCGYAAUGAAAGUGAAAGUUGAGAUCCCUGUCAUGGGGAGCAUCGACGCCCGGACCAGAAGUUUUCUGACGGCCCUGCGGUAGAGCAUGUAUGUUGGGACCCGAAAGAUGGUGAACUAUGCCUGAAUAGGGUGAAGCCAGAGGAAACUCUGGUGGAGGCUCGUAGCGAUUCUGACGUGCAAAUCGAUCGUCAAAUUUGGGGUAUAGGGGGCGAAAGACUAAUCGAACCAUCUAGUAGCUGGUUCC
rnacentral:rRNA from 2 species